ACACUCCUACGGGAGGCAGCAGUGGGGAAUAUUGGACAAUGGGCGCAAGCCUGAUCCAGCCAUGCCGCGUGAGUGAUGAAGGCCCUAGGGUUGUAAAGCUCUUUCACCGGUGAAGAUAAUGACGGUAACCGGAGAAGAAGCCCCGGCUAACUUCGUGCCAGCAGCCGCGGUAAUACGAAGGGGGCUAGCGUUGUUCGGAUUUACUGGGCGUAAAGCGCACGUAGGCGGACUAUUAAGUCAGGGGUGAAAUCCCGGGGCUCAACCCCGGAACUGCCUUUGAUACUGGUAGUCUUGAGUUCGAGAGAGGUGAGUGGAAUUCCGAGUGUAGAGGUGAAAUUCGUAGAUAUUCGGAGGAACACCAGUGGCGAAGGCGGCGCACUGGCUCGAUACUGACGCUGAGGUGCGAAAGCGUGGGGAGCAAACAGGAUUAGAUACCCGGGUAGUCCCAU
rnacentral:rRNA from 1 species